CACGGGGGGAGCAAGCGUUGUUCGGAAUCACUGGGCGUAAAGGGCGUGUAGGCGGUCAGGUAAGUCGGGUGUGAAAGCCCCGGGCUCAACCUGGGAAUUGCAUUCGAGACUGCAUGGCUAGGAUGCGGAAGAGGGAAGCGGAAUUUCCGGUGUAGCGGUGAAAUGCGUAGAUAUCGGAAGGAACACCAGUGGCGAAAGCGGCUUCCUGGUCCAGCAUCGACGUUCAGGCACGAAAGCGUGGGGAGCAAACAGG
rnacentral:rRNA from 1 species